rnacentral:rRNA from 1 species
GAACGAGUUCUCGUUGAUGAUCGGUGCUUGCACCGAGAUUCAACAUACCAACGAGUGGCGGACGGGUGAGUAACACGUGGGUAACCUGCCCUUAAGUGGGGGAUAACAUUUGGAAACAGAUGCUAAUACCGCAUAGAUCCAAGAACCGCAUGGUUCUUGGCUGAAAGAUGGCGUAAGCUAUCGCUUUUGGAUGGACCCGCGGCGUAUUAGCUAGUUGGUGAGGUAAUGGCUCACCAAGGCGAUGAUACGUAGCCGAACUGAGAGGUUGAUCGGCCACAUUGGGACUGAGACACGGCCCAAACUCCUACGGGAGGCAGCAGUAGGGAAUCUUCCACAAUGGACGCAAGUCUGAUGGAGCAACGCCGCGUGAGUGAAGAAGGCUUUCGGGUCGUAAAACUCUGUUGUUGGAGAAGAAUGGUCGGCAGAGUAACUGUUGUCGGCGUGACGGUAUCCAACCAGAAAGCCACGGCUAACUACGUGCCAGCAGCCGCGGUAAUACGUAGGUGGCAAGCGUUAUCCGGAUUUAUUGGGCGUAAAGCGAGCGCAGGCGGUUUUUUAAGUCUGAUGUGAAAGCCCUCGGCUUAACCGAGGAAGCGCAUCGGAAACUGGGAAACUUGAGUGCAGAAGAGGACAGUGGAACUCCAUGUGUAGCGGUGAAAUGCGUAGAUAUAUGGAAGAACACCAGUGGCGAAGGCGGCUGUCUGGUCUGUAACUGACGCUGAGGCUCGAAAGCAUGGGUAGCGAACAGGAUUAGAUACCCUGGUAGUCCAUGC